GGGACUGGCUGCGACAUCUGUCACCCCAUUGAUCGCCAGGGUUGAUUCGGCUGAUCUGGCUGGCUAGGCGGGUGUCCCCUUCCUCCCUCACCGCUCCAUGUGCGUCCCUCCCGAAGCUGCGCGCUCGGUCGAAGAGGACGACCAUCCCCGCUAGAGGAGGACCGGUCUUCGGUCAAGGGUAUACGAGUAGCUGCGCUCCCCUGCUAGAACCUCCAAACAAGCUCUCAGGUUGAUAUUUUAAAAACAAUUCAGAUUGUGUCAUUCUCUUGUGUAAAUCAACCAAUGGCUU
rnacentral:snRNA from 1 species